rnacentral:rRNA from 1 species
GGUGAGUAAUGCCUAGGAAUCUGCCUGGUAGUGGGGGACAACGUUUCGAAAGGAACGCCAAUACCGCAUACGUCCUACGGGAGAAAGCAGGGGACCUUCGGGCCUUGCGCUAUCAGAUGAGCCUAGGUCGGAUUAGCUAGUUGGUGAGGUAAUGGCUCACCAAGGCGACGAUCCGUAACUGGUCUGAGAGGAUGAUCAGUCACACUGGAACUGAGACACGGUCCAG